UUAUAUUAAUUUAUUAUUUUGGCAGAUUAGUGCAUUAAAUUUAGAAUUUAAUUAUGUAUGGUAUAUACAGGUAAUA
rnacentral:tRNA from 1 species